rnacentral:rRNA from 1 species
GGGGGAUAUUGCACAAUGGGGGAAACCCUGAUGCAGCGACGCCGCGUGGAGGAAGAAGGUUUUCGGAUUGUAAACUCCUGUCGUUAGGGACGAUAAUGACGGUACCUAACAAGAAAGCACCGGCUAACUACGUGCCAGCAGCCGCGGUAAAACGUAGGGAGCGAGCGUUGUCCGGAAUUACUGGGUGUAAAGGGAGCGUAGGCGGGAAGACAAGUUGGAAGUGAAAACCAUGGGCUCAACCCAUGAAUUGCUUUCAAAACUGUUUUUCUUGAGUAGUGCAGAGGUAGAUGGAAUUCCCGGUGUAGCGGUGGAAUGCGUAGAUAUCGGGAGGAACACCAGUGGCGAAGGCGGUCUACUGGGCACCAACUGACGCUGAGGCUCGAAAGCAUGGGUAGCAAACAGGAUUAGAUACCCUGGUAGUCCAUGCCGUAAACGAUGAUUACUAGGUGUUGGGGGAUUGACCCCCCUCAGUGCCGCAGUUAACACAAUAAGUAAUCCACCUGGGGAGUACGACCGCAAGGUUGAAACUCAAAGGAAUUGACGGGGGCCCGCACAAGCAGUGGAGUAUGUGGUUUAAUUCGACGCAACGCGAAGAACCUUACCAAGUCUUGACAUCCUGCGACGAUGCUGGAAACAGUAUUUUCCUUCGGGACGCAGAGACAGGUGGUGCAUGGUUGUCGUCAGCUCGUGUCGUGAGAUGUUGGGUUAAGUCCCGCAACGAGCGCAACCCUUAUGGUCAGUUACUACGCAAGAGGACUCUGGCCAGACUGCCGUUGACAAAACGGAGGAAGGUGGGGAUGACGUCAAAUCAUCAUGCCCUUUAUGACUUGGGCUACACACGUACUACAAUGGCGUUAAACAAAGAGAAGCAAGACCGCGAGGUGGAGCAAAACUCAGAAACAACGUCCCAGUUCGGACUGCAGGCUGCAACUCGCCUGCACGAAGUCGGAAUUGCUAGUAAUCGUGGAUCAGCAUGCCACGGUGAAUACGUUCCCG